UUUCGGCGCUGAAGCAGCGGUGCGCGUGCGCAGCCCCGCCCCAUCCCCCACCGGGGACCCUGCCCAACUUCACCCGCGAAGAGCCGGAGCCCUGCUCUCAGCGCUCCCUCCGUAGCCGCUCCGCUGUGUCCUGUUAGGUCCUCCUAGCACCAGAGUUCUAGAAUCCUAGGAUUUGUAUAAGAGUUUAAAAGGUAAUCUAAUUCCGAGGGUCCACACGCUCUGUCAGAAGUUAAACAUCGUUUCAAAGUUCUUGAAAGCCAAAGAUCCUGAGAGGGUGAUGGAUGGAGUUUCAGGAAUUCUCUGGAAUCUGUGCAAAAUUGUGAGUGCUUGGCACUUCUGGAAAGUGGGUCCAAAAUUUUCCACACCCACUCAAAAGGAGUCUUACAAUCAGAAAAGAUUGAGAACCACUACUCUAUGUAUUUUCAUACUAUUUCUAGUUCCUGCUUCAACUAGUGUGUAUGUAGCACUUAAUCUUUACCAGGUACUGUGCUAGCAGCUGAAAACAAGAGAUACAGUACUUCAGACUUUAUAGGUUCCAAGGCUUUGACAGUUAAUGUUUUUAAAAAUAAGAUCUGCUUUCAGUGUGAAAAAACAGCAAAGGAAGAAAAUAACUAAUGUGUGUUGCAGUGUUUCUCCAAACUUUUCCUCCUGACCCACAGUAAUACAUUCCAUAUUGUGGCCCAGAAAAUAUAUGCAUAUAUACCCACAUUUAAAUGGAAAUAAACGUUUUAUGAAAUAAUA